rnacentral:rRNA from 1 species
UACGAAGGGGGCUAGCGUUGUUCGGAAUUACUGGGCGUAAAGCGCGCGCAGGCGGCUAUCCAAGUCAGUGGUGAAAGCCCGGAGCUCAACUCCGGAACUGCCAUUGAAACUGUUUAGCUUGAGGACGAGAGAGGUGAGUGGAAUUCCCAGUGUAGAGGUGAAAUUCGUAGAUAUUGGGAAGAACACCGGUGGCGAAGGCGGCUCACUGGCUCGUUUCUGACGCUCAGGCGCGAUAGCGUGGGAUCAAACAGG